rnacentral:rRNA from 1 species
UCGAGUACUGCGGAGGACAUUACUGUGAUUUAGUACUACACUGCGUGAGCGGAACGAAAACAACAACACCUAAAAUGUGGAAUAUAGCAUAUAGUCGACAAGAGAAAUCUACGAAAAACAAACAAAACUUUCAACAACGGAUCUCUUGGUUCUCGCAUCGAUGAAGAGCGCAGCGAAAUGCGAUACCUAGUGUGAAUUGCAGCCAUCGUGAAUCAUCGAGUUCUUGAACGCACAUUGCGCCCCUCGGCAUUCCGGGGGGCAUGCCUGUUUGAGCGUCGUUUCCAUCUUGCGCGUGCGCAGAGUUGGGGGAGCGGAGCGGACGACGUGUAAAGAGCGUCGGAGCUGCGACUCGCCUGAAAGGGAGCGAAGCUGGCCGAGCGAACUAGACUUUUUUUCAGGGACGCUUGGCGGCCGAGAGCGAGUGUUGCGAGACAACAAAAAGCUCGACCUCAAAUCAGGUAGGAAUACCCGCUGAACUUAAGCAUAUCAAAA